GGAGGAGGUUUAAUAUCUUGACCUAGUGAGAUAUACAUGGAGGAGGUUUAAUAUCCUGACCUAGUGAGAUAUGCAUGGAGGUUUAAUACCCUGACCUAGUGAGAUAUACAUGGAGGAGGUUUAAUAUCCUGACCUAGUGAGAUAUACAUGGAGGAGGUUUAAUAUCUUGACCUAGUGAGAUAUACAUGGAGGAGGUUUAAUACCCUGACCUAGUGAGAUAUACAUGGAGGAGGUUUAAUAUCCUGACCUAGUGAGAUAUACAUGGAGGUUUAAUAUCCUGACCUAGUGAGAUAUACAUGGAGGUUUAAUACCCUGACCUAGUGAGAUAUACAUGGAGGUUUAAUA